ensembl:misc_RNA Metazoa_SRP Metazoan signal recognition particle RNA
GCUGGGCAUGGUGGCUCAUGCCUGUAGUCACAGCUACCUGGGAGGCUGAGGCAGGAGGAUCACUUGAGACUAGGAGUUCAAGGCUGCAGUGAGCCGUGACUGUACCACUGCACUCUAGUCUGGGUGACAGAGUAAGACCCUGUCUUUU